GCUCUCUUGGAUCAGCUCUGGGGGAAGCCAGCUGCCAUGUUGUGGGGAUGCUCAAGCAGCCCUGAGGAGAGGCCCAUAUGAGGAGGAGCUGAGAGGACUUGAGCCAAAAGCCAGUGGAGAAUUGAGGUCUCCUGUCAGUAGCCAUACACCUCGAAUCACAGAUAGUUGGAGAUGAAAAGGACCUUAGAAACCAUGAGAAACACCAUGGACGGGGAGAGUGGGGAGCUCUGGAGCCAUAAACCUGGCUUCAGGUCCCAGUUCUGCCACUCACCAGCUGCGUGGCCAAAGGCAGACAGAGGGAGUUGCCGUUUCGGGAGAGGAGCUUGACAAUCAGAGACAGCCGGCAUCCAAAUUCUCGUGGACUCAGGAUGGAGAGCCUUUCCCUAGGAGAUGCUCAGGUGCAGACUCAGGUGUGGGACAGGUCAGUACCGCAGCGGUGGCUAAAGAAUGCCUUUUCAUGACUGUGCAUCUUAGGAAAAUCCUCCUGAUGCGUUGUUUUCCAGAUGGGAGACUGUGGUGCAGAGAUGGAGGGAUGGUCCAGGGUCACCCAGCCAGUGGGGCAGAGCCCUCCCUCCUGGGUACUUUGCAUGUCUUGGGCUUGGCCCAAAGCUCAGAGGUCAGCUCACUGUGGCCCACACAGAAGGCCACACAGUGGUUCCGGCCUCAGUAAGCUCUCAGUUGAUGUCAGCCAGUAGUUUAUUAACAGCAGCUCAAACUGAGCACCUACUGUGUGCCCUGGUACUUAAUGUGGUGGGAGUGGAAGGUGGGCAGUAGAGUGUCAACUAGUCACUCCUGAUGUCAGCUGGCCCAGUCCCACCUGACAUCCUGAUGGGGUGGGCCUGGGGAAGUUGGUUCUCCCGAGGUGCCCCUGCCAGAAGAGGAGGCAGGGAUGGGGGGCUAGUCCCAGGGAGUGAGGAUGUCAAUGGCUUUUCAUGCUCAAGCCUGCAGAAGAUUUUGAGUUCGAGGGUAGGCAAAGGUAUGGGUCAUCCUUGGAAGAGACUUUGUUAGUCUCUUCCAUACCCUGGGUAGAGAAGUGAGGCCCAGCUCAGUGAAGGGGGAUUGAGCUGGUGGGCUCUGAGAUGGGGCAAGCAUCAGUUCUGGAUGGAAGAGGACCUAUUGGAGAUUGAAGGAAAUGCCUGUGGGGGACACAGCCCCCAGGGACCCUCAUGUGGAAGGGGAGCUGAGGCAGGCAUGAAGGCCCCACCCUCUCUCCUUGCGAACUCUGCUUCUGCACACCGCCUGGCCUGGACAUUGUUUGGCCUUUUCUUGUGGCCCUGUUAUGGUCUGUAAGGAACCCAGCAUUCAACUGUCACUCUGCACUCCUCGCCCUCGCCACUUCCAAAGAGCCAGGCCUCCUGUUCUCAAAAGGCUGAGCCUCAGCACCGGAGCCUGUCUCACAAGUAGACUGAACGGAGCACACAGCAGCUCAGCCUCUGUCUCCGGAAGAUGCAGGAAACUGAGAGGCCAUGGGCAGCUGCCUCCCCUGCGGAGGACGGCGGCACCUCUUCUACAACAGCGUCUGAGGAGGAGCUCCCGCCUGGAGGACGGAUGCCCAGGGCAGCCCCGAGGUGAAGGCGCAGGACAGCCCGUCCUCUGGCUCUGCCCCCUGUCGCUCCUUAGCCUCCUGAACAGGGGCCACGCAGGAGCUGGGGACACAACCCAGAGGCCCUGCUGGGGCCGCAGGACAUGUCCAUCAUGUGUGAUGAGUCAUAGCAACUAUUUUCAGGUUCUUGAUCAAGGACAUUUUGAUCUUUCUGGUUCGCGUCUGACUUAGUGAGAAGCCCUGGCCUCUCCGACCCUAGCAGUGGGACUUGUCCAUGAGCUGAGAUGCCUGAGAGGCGGCCCGUGCUGGUUCAUUUCUGGGCGGUCAUUCAUGGUCAUGGGUUAAACACAAGUCUCGGAUCUCAAACCCUGGGCCUCCUGUUGCCUCUGGGGCCUCCAUCUGCCCCCAUGGCCGGGGAGAGUCACAACAUGCAUUUGCCCCAGCUCCAUUCUGUCAAGAUGCAAAAGAACGGAUAGUACAAAGAGUCUCACUCCCUCCCCGGCCCCAGCCUCCAGGGACCCUCCUGGAAGCAGCCACUGUUUCCAGUUCCUGGUGUCUCCUUCCAAAGAUGGUCUGGGUAGCUCCAAGCAGUGGUAUAGACAUUCCCUGACGCCUCCCGUCUUAAGGACGCUUGUUUGUACAGAAACGGGGGCACAUGCAGUCUGACCACAGCUCCACGCUUGCCUUUCCCUCUUCAUUUGUUUUAGCCAUCAGGCCACAUUAGGCUGUGAAUGAGCUUGUCACUUUUAUCAGCUGCAUAAAGACAGACUCUUAAGUGGUAUCUCCGACUCUCAUCUCAUGCUCCUGAAGUCAGUGUUGUGGUUCCAGAGCAGCUGCGCCAAGCCAUAGCCUUAAGCACACCCUGUGAAUUUCUAUUUGUCAGGAGAUGUGUCUCAUCUUAUCUCAUUCAUUGUAUGAAUAAGAGCUAGCACUUAAAACACC